rnacentral:lncRNA from 1 species
CGCGCUUAAGUCCCGUACGCAAGAAACAAUUCCGAAAUGUACACACACGCCUUGUCUUGAAAAACUUAACAGUCUUUUUUCGUCUUGCUCGCCAAUAGCAUCUGGCCGUUCCUCUGCCGAAACUUUGCGGUCUCUUCAGGAUGAGUUUGCUUCACGUAAUGUUGCCCAAGUUGUUGCUCUGUCUGAUCGUUGUCUUGACUGUGCAAAUGUAUGGCAUGGCCAAACCCUUAGCGGACUCUAUUGGCGCUACUGUAGUGAAAGUUGGUACCACCACCACCACUACCACCACUGAAAUGGUCUGCCUUUAUGGCUUUGAGAGGGUAAAUGGCACGUGCAAAGAGAUAUUUUGAUUAAAGAAAUUCGACCCAAAGGAUGUCCUGGCCGAGCGAGGAUCUUCCGAGCUGUACAUAUUAAUUAAAUUAUUAUUUAUUGUAGUCUAAGAGUUUAUGAAUCAGUCGCUGUUCACAUGCCACUAAGUGAAUUAUGUUACUUAAGAUAGUUUUAUACAAGGUGUUUGUAAAUAAGGAAAUGCAAAAUAAAACCGUUUUUUUA